GGGAGCCAGACCCACUGGGUACUCCCCUGCACUCGGUCCCUGUUCUCUGCCCCUCAUCUUUCCAUCACCCUACUCCUCAAGACAGAGGGGUCUGGGCUGUUUCGACCUUGGAGGACAUGGGUCCAUUCCUACCAUGCCUAGUCCUCCUGACCUCAUGGCUAUCUACUACCCGCUGCCUGUAGUCUGCCUGAGAGACCUGUCUGCUUCAGCCACCUCUCCAGAGGCACCGCCCAUCCCCCACACUUACUAAUGACACACACAUCUCUAGUACUAGGGAUUGAACCCAGGGCCUUUGCACUGAACUCUGACCCCAGCCUUCUUUUAAUUCUUUGACACAAGGUCUUGUCAAGUCACUAAAUUGCCCGGGCUGGGCUCGGAUUGGUGAUGUUCUUGCCUCACACUCCCAGAAAGCUAGAGUUACAUGCGUCCAUCACCACCUCUGGCUCUAAUUUUUGAAGAAAGAAAGAAAAGAAAGAAUAAGAAGAGAGAGAGGAAAAGUAAAGAAAAGAGACAAAUAAUUUUUCCUGCUAAACUGAAUUUAUUUUGUGCUUUCUGAGCAAUCAUUUGUAGCACUUGGGAGUGUGACCUGAUUUAGGAAGCAGAAGAUAAAUUCCCUUCUUUGCUGGUAUUCAAGGGAAGUGAUAAAGGCUUCUGUGAGAAUGGCUUUUGCUGUUCAACUACAAAAAUGGCUUUCUUGUGCUGUUUAAAGAAAAGACUCCAUAGGGGAAGGAAGGCUAAUGUUAGAAAAAGCAUGGCUGUUAGAUACCGAGUGGAAGCACUCCCUGGGUCACCAGUGCAGGCUCCUGUCUUAGAACCUUGCUGUGUAGAGGCCUGAAGAGAGAGGAAGAAGGUCCAGGAUUGAGUCCCUAGCUUUGUGUGCUCUCCCCAAAUGGCCCUUUCUGGUCUUCUGGUUCAGCUUUUACAAAAUGACACUUAAAUCAAGUGUGGUGGCACAUGACUGUUAUCUCAGCAUUUGGGAGGCUGGGCAGGAAGAUUGCCACAAAUUUGAGGCCAGCCUGGGCUACAUAGUAAGUUCAGGGCCAGCCUGAACUUCAAGUACGAUCUUGUCUCAGAAAACCAAACAAACAAGCAUACAUGAAUGAGUGAAACCGACCACACCUGCUUGAUUCUGCUGUUGAAAAUGUUAGAUCUGAACCACUUAACAGUUUACUCUGAGCAUCACUUGGGCAGUGCGCUUAUUUACAUACUGACUGUCCCAAGAGUCACUUGGGCAGGUGUCGUUUCAACCAGUGAAUUCCUGUAUUGGAUAAAUUUGGUAAAAUUGUCGUUUUUAAAGGAAAAUGGAUGUAACGUGAGAUCAUACUCACAAGUGAAAUAUAUCAGAGAUGCAUGUAUAAACAUCAUUGUCUCACUAGUAUGAGAAGCUGAAGCCAUAUAUGUCUAUGGUUUCAGAUGUAUAUAAUAUAUCACACAAUAUAUAAUAUAUACGUUACACAGAUGUAUGUGCAUUGUCAUCCCCUAAUUAUUGUUUUGAAAUUUUGUUUUUUUCUCUUCAAAAUAAAAUAGAUUUGAAAAGAAAAAGUUAAAUAAAAUCACCAUUUUUGUCUUUCCUGUUACA